AUGGAUCAACUGUGGUUCAGCUUGUGUCUCAUAGCCUCGUCCACGCUACUGGCCCUCUGGUUUUGCAAAAGGAGUACGCCCAAGAAGAGGUUGCCUCCUGGGCCAUGGUCCCUGCCCAUCAUCGGUAGCCUCCACCACCUCAUUGGCCUCCUCCCCCACCGCACCAUAAUGGAGCUGUCUCGUCGGCAUGGGCCGCUGAUGCUCCUACGGCUGGGCGAGAUGAAUUACAGUGUUUGUGUUGUAAUGAAACUUGAUCUGAAAUAG
rnacentral:rRNA from 1 species